ensembl:lncRNA
UCCGUGCUCUCACUAGGUCAGGUCAACUGUUUCUGCAGGUUUCUGCAGCAUGGUCUUGGCUCCUUUGCUCAUCCCUCCUCCCUCUCCGCAACUGGAUUCCAGGAGUAUGAUUCAGUGCUUAGCUGUGGGUGCCUGUUUCUGCUUCAAUCAACUACUGGAUGAAGGCUCAUGUUUGUCUUUUUGUGACUGGAUUACCUCACUCAGGAUGGUUUCUUCUAGUUCCAUCCAUUUUCCUUGGAAUUUCAAGAUUAUUGAAAGCAUGGAGGCUUGAAGAAAAUGGAAUUAAUCUUCAAACUCUGCCUGCCAGCCACCACUGACAGUCCAACACCAGGACAGAUAAGAAGAUGUACACUCGACAUCCAUGAAACCAUGUAUGUGAAAAGAGCAGACAGCUCCCCAUGGAUCGUGAAAGAGGAAGGAGACCCAGAGACCCCGUGGGCCUUGCUCUCAAAUUCUGGGUUCACACACACUGUGCAUUCCCUCGCUGGAUUAAUUAACUCAGAAUUGCCUCUUCGUGGCAAUUUAGAUUUCUGUUUUUAAUUUCCUCCUUGCUGAAAAAUAAAUAGGUCUAACCACAUAUUCAAGUCCCUUUGCAUGGGCUUUUGUGCCAUAAGCAGGCCAGGAUUCACUGGGAAACAUCUGGACCAUUGCCAAGGGGAUAUUCAAUUUCUUUGUUGUCGUUCAGGAUAACCUAGCUAACCGCAAUCUUUUUCCACCACCACUCUGCAAUGUGCCUGAGCUAGAGCCAAGAGGCCAUCCUACAAAAUGUACAUGAGAAAUGACAAAAAGAAAAUAAGGAAGAGAGGAGCCAGGGGCACUAGAGAGUCUUCUGAGUUAAAAAGAAGG